rnacentral:tRNA from 1 species
ACGGGCAUAGCUCAGUUGGUAGAGCACCGGUCUCCAAAACCGUGGGUCGGGGGUUCGAGUCCCUCUGCCCGUG